rnacentral:rRNA from 1 species
GUGGGGAAUCUUCCGCAAUGGACGAAAGUCUGACGGAGCAACGCCGCGUGAGUGAUGAAGGUCUUCGGAUUGUAAAGCUCUGUUAAUCGGGACGAAAGAGCCUAGUGUGAAUAAUGCUAGGAAGUGACGGUACCGGAAUAGAAAGCCACGGCUAACUACGUGCCAGCAGCCGCGGUAGUACGUAGGUGGCAAGCGUUGUCCGGAAUUAUUGGGCGUAAAGCGCGCGCAGGCGGAUCUGCCAGUCUGUCUUAAAAGUUCGGGGCUUAACCCCGUGAUGGGAUGGAAACUACAGAUCUAGAGUAUCGGAGAGGAAAGUGGAAUUCCUAGUGUAGCGGUGAAAUGCGUAGAUAUUAGGAAGAACACCAGUGGCGAAGGCGACUUUCUGGACGAAAACUGACGCUGAGGCGCGAAAGCCAGGGGAGCGAACGGGAUUAGAAACCCCGGUAGUCC